UUGGGUUAUAUACACAGACGCUCCAUUCUACACAUCUUGGUGGUGUCCUUGGUGUGGCGCAGGGAAGAUCACGGCGCAGUAGUUGAUUGAUGGCACGGCGCGAUGGUUGAUUGGUGGCACAUUGGAGAUCUGGACAAUGGUGGUUGUUGAGUGGGGCUACUAAAACUUGUAAGAACUUUUAACCCUUAUUUCCCUUCUCAAGAGCUCCACUAUAUCUCUUUCUUGUAUUCACAAUGAAUGAAUCAGUUUCCAUUUUUGUUAAUUUCUUAAGUAAAAAUGAACAAUUGCAUAUAUUUAUUAUGGGUCUUUCUUGUAUGCCGUCUGGUAUGGUUGUUGCCGAUUUUGGGGCUUUUGGUUUGUGGAGGAACUAGGUUUUCAUGUCCCUGCCAUCUUUGACACUUGUGGCAUCUUCAUUUUCAUGCAUCUCUCUUGCUUGUUUCCUGUUUUCUAUUCUCCUUGUUACGGGUGCAGACCGAGUGGGCAUGAUACUGCUCCAAACUUCUAUCUGUAUAAUGCAAGGUUUAGAGACAUUUCUUGAUCGUACUUACAGUCACAUAGAGAGAUUUCUAGAUUGGAUGGUAUGGGUUGUUGUAUGAAGUCAUUAUAUAGGUUUUAGUAGAAUUUUCAGCGAAGAAUCCCCUAAUGAUUGCGUUGCACAAUUGCAAUCUUGUGGUCAUGGCUUCUCUGGCGCAGAUGUGUUCAAUUAAAGAGUUGCUUAUGACUUUUAAUUGGAAAUGUGUUGGCUUACUCAAACUUGUUGGUUACUGUAGCCAGAUUGAAUAUGACUUUAAUUGUAUUGUGUUGAUUUUCUGAAAUGGUUUUAAAUUGUUUCAAUUUUGGACAUCGGAUUUUUAAUUUCUCUUUUUUUUUAAUUACCGCUGCCUUGUUUGUAUAGAUUGAUUCAUUAUUUUGAAAUGAUUUCAGUAUUUAUGUUUUAUAUGUAAUGUAUUAAAGAAGUAUUGUUAAGUUAUUAUGGUGCGUAUACCUCCUGACUUUGAUGGUUUCCUUUGGAAAAACAUUUUGUUUUGUUGGAGGUUCUUCAUGUAGGAAACACAAUCUUCCCCACCCCUUUGAAAAGACAUUUUGUUUUUCUUCUAACAUAGAUCAGAUGCCUUGGCCUAGUGGAAAGCCUAAAAACUAAGCUUUUUCUAUGAGCUGGACAGAAAUUCAAGUUAAUUUAUGUAUUAAAGUUGCAGGUCAAAUGAAUAUUACCUGGUGAACCAGUUCUAAUUUCUUUUAGCAGAUUCAGAUGCCUAAUGGGGAAAUGAAUGAAAUUUUAGAUGCAUGCUUGGAAUGUGUCUAUAAACUACUCAAUCAAUCCCAUUGAUUUUUUUCUUCCUGGCCAAUAUUUUUAUAAAAUGUGUGUUUACUUAACCUUCAUUUUUUUUUUUUUUUUUUGGUUAGAUUUAAUAAGUUGUAUAAACAUCCUUCACUUUUUUUAGUAUGAUUUUCAAGAAUUGAAAAUGAAAAAAUUAUACAAACAAUUUUUUGUUCUGUCUUAAGAUUUUUUUUUUUUUGGGUAAAUAAAAUUUAAAAAUGUUUUUCUGCUUGUGUAUGAAUCCCAUGCUUGUUUUGCUGUACUUUUACCUAACAUAAUAAUACUUUGAAAUAGACAUAUAUACCCUACACCAGUAAUUGAAUUCUAGAUAGGAUAUGAUUUAGGCAUGAGCCCAGUCACUGCCUGUACCAUAAUAGUUUGAAGUGUGACUUUGUUUAUUUAUUUCAGAUUUAUGGAUGAUACAACUCAUGCCAAUUUUGAGAUAUAGGAUAUGCUAGGUUGUUAUAGAUUUGAUAUCUUUUUGUAGAUCAAAUAUACACACAUAUAUUUAUGUAUGUAUAUGUGUGUGUAUCUAUAGAUGCAUACACUCAUGGUUGAUUAAAAUUUUAGUAGGGAACAUUUAAAAUUGUAAGCUGAAAUUCCAUUUGGAGAUUUUACAGGGAAUUAAUACGAGGCUUUUAUGCUGUCUGUAUUCACAUGUAUAAUAGAAAUAGCAUCACAUACAAUUGGAAAUUAUGUCUGCGUUGUAUAGUGUCUGCUAGCUUUGUUAAUAAUACAACUAAAUCUUACACUUGCUUUAUAUAAAAAAUAAUAAUAAUAAUAGAACAGCAGAGGUAAUAAUAUUGUGUCUGCUAGCUUUGUUAAUAAUAAGUGCAAGAAGGAUGGCAAAGCUAGUGAUGAACAUACUGCCAAAAUGAUUGUAAGUUUUUAUUUUUUUGGACCAUCAAUUAUUUCUUAGUUUGAUUAAGUGUAAAAUCUGAAUAUUAAAAUUUAUUAUAUUUGUUGCUUUCUAUCUUUUUGUGUUUCCUUAUCCAUUCUAUGUAUAUCGACACAACUAGAAGAGCUUGCUGCAACUUAGCCUUCUAACCCAGAUGAACCUUCCCCCCACGAUUUUUAUGCCUAAGUAAGGGGAGAAGAAAGAAGGGGCCGUGUUCCGAUGUAUGGUUGGGACCUACAUCAACUAGUCUUUGGUGGUCAUCUCCUAGUAAAGCGGAGCAGCUGAUAAGGAGGACCUCACAAGUUGAGGAGGAGACACGUGUUGCUUGUGCAGAAAUGAAGGAGAUGGUGGAAAAGAUGUGCUGACCAUGUUGAAAAAUAUGAAGCUUUGAAUGCCAAAAUGGCUAUGAUUUUGCGUCAUAUGGAACAUCAAAAUUCUAAUGUAUCCGGCUCCUCGAGUACACUUGGUGAUCUUUAAAUUUUAUUUUUGGUUAUGAAACUUUAUCCAUGGGCAAUGUGAAGCAAGACGAGAGAUGAAGUUGAAGGAUUAAUUCUGAAGACCCUCACAUAGCCUCACCAUUACUCAAUGAAAUGUUGAUGUUUUACUUUGAAUUAUUUCCUUUUGAAGUUUUAUUAGAUUUAGUGUUUCCUUUUGAAGCUUUAUUAGUACUUGACAUUUUGAAACAAAACUUAUAUUUUAUGGAUGUUAUGAAUUUUAAUGCAACUGUUUUCUAUGUUACAUCUCAAA